rnacentral:rRNA from 1 species
GGGUGACCUCAGAUCAGGUAGGGAUACCCGCUGAACUUAAGCAUAUCAAUAAGCGGAGGAAAAGAAACCAACAGGGAUUGCCUCAGUAACGGCGAGUGAAGCGGCAAAAGCUCAGAUUUGAAAUCUGGCGUCAUUUUGGCGUCCGAGUUGUAAUCUGUAGAGGAGUAUUCGAGUGUGGCGCUGGCUUAAGUUCCUUGGAACAGGACGUCAUAGAGGGUGAGAACCCCGUUAACGGCCUUUGUCUUAUGCUCAUGUGAAUCUCCUUCAACGAGUCGAGUUGUUUGGGAAUGCAGCUCUAAAUGGGUGGUAAAUUCCAUCUAAAGCUAAAUACUGGCAAGAGACCGAUAGCGCACAAGUAGAGUGAUCGAAAGAUGAAAAGAACUCUGAACAGAGAGUUAAAUAGUACGUGAAAUUGUUGAAAGGGAAGCACUUGCUACCAGACACGCCUGUAGUUGAUCAACCUCCAUUUUUGGUGGUGCACUCAGCUAUAGGUGGGUCAGCAUCAGUUAUGGCGGUGGGAUAAAGACUUGGGGAAUGUGGCUUCUCUCGGGAGGUGUUAUAGCCCUGAGUGUAAUACCAUCUGCUAUGACUGAGGACCGCGCUUCGGCGAGGAUGCUGGCAUAAUGGUCGUAAGUGACCCGUCUG